CAGCUUGCUGAGAUGAGUAUACUGGCGGAUGGGUGAGUAACACGUAGGUAAUCUGCCCUUAGGACAGGGAUAACAUUGCUAACGCGAUGCUAAUACCUGAUGAAGCAACUGUUGAAUCAGAUGGUUGUUAAAGGCUGGCUUUCAGCUAGCGCCUGAGGAUGAGCCUGCGUCUCAUUAGCUAGUUGGUAGGGUAAUGGCCUACCAAGGCGACGAUGGGUAGCCGGCCUGAGAGGGUGAGCGGCCACACUGGGACUGAGAUACGGCCCAGACUCCUACGGGAGGCAGCAGUGAGGAAUAUUGCGCAAUGGCCGAAAGGUUGACGCAGCGACGCCGCGUGAGGGAUGAAGCUUUUAGGAGUGUAAACCUCUGUUAGGAGGGAAGAAUAAUGGCAAUUCGAACAGGGUUGUCAGAUGACGGUACCUCCAGAGGAAGCCCCGGCUAACUCCGUGCCAGCAGCCGCGGUAAUACGGGGGGGGCUAGCGUUGUCCGGAAUUACUGGGCGUAAAGGGCGCGUAGGCGGGAUAGCAAGUCAGUGGUGCAAACUUGAGGCUUAACUUCAAGCUUGCCAUUGAUACUGUUAUUCUUGAGUUCGGCAGAGGGAAGUGGAAUUCCUGGUGUAGCGGUGAAAUGCGUAGAUAUCAGGAAGAACACCGGUGGCGAAGGCGGCUUCCUGGUCCGAUACUGACGCUGAGGCGCGAAUGCGUGGGGAGCGAACAGGAUUAGAUACCCCUGGUAGUCCACGCUGUAAACGAUGGGUACUAGGUGUUGGUUGUAAUGAUCAGCGCCGGAGCAAACGCAUUAAGUACCCCGCCUGGGGAAUACGGUCGCAAGACUGAAACUCAAAGGAAUUGACGGGGGCCCGCACAAGCGGUGGAGCAUGUGGUUUAAUUCGAUGCAACGCGAAGAACCUUACCUGGGCUUGAACUGCAGGUGCUAUCUCCUGAAAGGGAGUUUCCUUCGGGACGCCUGUAGAGGUGCUGCAUGGCUGUCGUCAGCU
rnacentral:rRNA from 1 species